UUCUCAAAAUCGAUUGAAGAUCCCUUCCGCCACCGCCGCCUCUGCUCCAUGUCCGCCGCGUAAUCCAAAAACUCAUGAGGACUCUCGUUCCUCCUCACCACCUCGUUUUAAACCCUGAAAUUAACUCUGCAUCUCUUCACCAUCUCUUCAGACAUAGAGAAGUAAGCCGCAGGGCAAAUGUUUGAAAGGAUUCUUUCCUGGUAACGGAAGAACGAGGCCGAUCUGUGAAAACCCUAAUCUCUGAAUUAUUCUCUUCUGUAGGAAAUUGGAAUAUCAGAUUCAGAGGUGGGGGAGGAUCUUCUGCUUUUGCACUUGCAUCAGAAGCCACAUUAGUGAAACAUGUAGUCUUCCCAUUAUUCUUGCCUGUGACUUCAAUAUCAAUGCCAUCUGGAGCUCCCAGAUAUCUAGAUAGAACUCCUUUCCCUUUCAAAGUAUUCUGCAGGAAAAACAGAGAAAAGCCAGAUAACGAUAGAACCUUUUACUCCUAAGAAUCCAGUUUGGGAUGAACCAGAGAAGGGAAAGCAGUGACAGAAAUUCCGCCUUUGCGUGGUUCCUGCUCAAUUUCGUCUCCUGAAACAGACUUCCAAACAUCGUUAAUUUCCUCUGUCUCUCUCUGCAAUUCUCUCCCCUCCAUAGUGGAAGCAAUUAUGCUCAUCUCCUCGAUGCAACAUGUGAAUCCAGUUGGGAUGAACGAAGGGACAGGAAUUCCGCCUCUGCGUGGUUCCUACUCAAUUUCGUCUCCAGAAACGGACUUCCAAACAUCGUUAAUUUCCUCUGUCUCUCUCUGCAAUUCUCUCCCUCCAUAGUGGAAGUAAACACUCAUCUCCUCGAUGCGACAUGUGAAUCCAGUUGGGAUGAAUCAGAGAAGGGAAGCGGUCCAGUUGGGCUUUUUCACAAACACCUCUCUCUCUCUCUCCUAAGUGAUGACAAUUUUGGGUUUGCUGUGAAAAUAAACAGGAUCAAUUCGGAAAGGUUCCUCUGUUUUGGGGAAUUACCGCCGAUGGAUACGUCGCCUUUGCUGACGAUGCCGACUUGCUCAAAGGUGCUUGUGGAAAGUCUCUUGCAUCUUUCCCUCAGGGAUGCUUCUUCUUCACCGCAGACGGUGGUCUGAGAAGCUACGAGCACCCUAAGAAUACAAUUACUGCCAUACCCGCCACUGACGAAGAGAUUUGGGGAACCAAGUUCAUGGUAGGAUAUAAAUUAUUAAUUUGUAGAUUUGGGAUGAUCUUCUUGUCCUUUUUUUCAUCCUCUGCUUUGUGUAUAUAUGUAUACAUCUCAGGUUGACGAAAUAAGGCUUUCUUUUUCUCUUUUUUUAAAUCCUCUUUUUGAUCAGCGGUUCAGGUCCGGCAAUAAGGUUUUAUUUUUUGUUUUUUAAAUCCUCUCUUCUUCUUCUCUAGCUCUUCUUUUUCUUCAGGUCAGCGGGACAGUAGCAGCUAUGAGCCGUGUUCUUUUUUUAGGAAGCUUGAAGAUUUUGGAGCCCGAGGCUUAAGAAGAAUCACAAUAGGGUAGGGAAGAGAGGAGUCCCGCCGCCGCCUCUGCUCCAUAUCCGCCACCGACAGAUCCGGCCUCAUCAAUCCAAAUACCGGCGAUGGAGAUCCGGCGGAGAAGAUAAUCGAAGGUUGCGUUUUUUCUCCUUUUUUUCCUUCAAUCUGUUCGGAAUCUGCAGUCUGUGGUGGUCUUGGUUGGAAAUCCGGCAAAUUAUGGCUGAAAUCUGUGGUUCUCUGUAUUUUGAAAGCUUCACUGUAAUGUAAAAAUAUGAGUUUUUCAAUAGCAAGGGUAUAAUGGUCAUUUUAAGUCGACACUUAA